UUCAUUGUUGGAACAAUAAUUUUAACUUGCCUGCCCCUGAAACAAAUCUGCGACAUUUCAAGUCUGCAAACUAAAUAGAUGGAUUGACAUAACAAUUGUCUCUUUCUUUAACAAUAUGACUAAAAUAAUUGUUCAUCACAACUUUAUCGAUUAAAAUUGUGAUUGGUCAUCGCAAUUAAUAAUUAUAUCUUUUGUGCAUCAAACCAAGAUCACAUUGAAUCAGUUAGAUAUUUGUAGACUGGAUAUAAUCACGAUAGAAAUUUAAUCAAGCACGAAUUACGAAGGCGACAGGACCAAUUAAUUUUUAUUUAUCAAAAUGAAAUAUUUAAAGAGACAAAUUUCUUCGUCUUUAUUACUGUGAAAGUGUACCAGUUGAAACGAUGAUCCAACUGCUUGUAAAAUGUUUUUUGGUAUUAAUUCUUAUAAAUUCUUUGCAAGAUGCUGGAUACUUAAAUCAUUUAACAGAGGCUUCGGAUGGAGAUGACUGUGACACUGCCAGUACCUCACAUUCAGCUUCGUGGUUAACACUGAUAGCUACAGCUUCUUCACUGUAUCUUAUAAUGUGGACUCUUAGAUGAAAAAGGGUUGGAUAAACGGAUUUACCAAAAAAUCUAGUGAUGGCACACCUAUUAUUGCCUUUUGGGGUUUUUGUUAUGUAUUCGCUUAUAUAAAAUAUAUAAUUUUCUGACA